ensembl:ncRNA lncRNA:CR45959 long non-coding RNA:CR45959
ACUCAUUUCAUUUCAUUUCUACUUAAUUCAAAAUUCUGGCAAGCGGGCAGCGAGCUAUGGUUUAAUAUAUCGAAGGACAAUCGUCGUAGUCGACUUCAGGUCUCCUCAACCGGGAGAGCUCUCCUAGGCACCUUUCAGCCAGUUUUUCAAUUCAAUUUUGGGCCAUCUCGAAAAUAGAAAACAAAUACACAGAUACAGACACAAUAAAUGCUAAAUGCUGAACGUGACACACACAUGUCUUAAAAGUGCUGUCAUGUGCUCGUUGGUGAGUUGGGAAAAACGGAAAAGCGGAAUGGAAGAGCGACUUUGUUGACGCCGUUGACUUUAUACGUCAAUUUCAUCGCCGUCGUGAGGAGUUUUCGUUUCGUUUAUGGCAGCCAAGGGAAAAUGAGAGGAGGCACUGUAGCAGGCACCCGGGGUUUGGGCUGCAAGCAAACAUCAACAGCAGGCGGAGGAGGCUGUUACUGGGAGCGGAGGCUUUCACCCCAACUGUCUCUCCUAGUCACCAGGCCUGGGUCCCAUGUCAAGUUGUCGUUGCCGCCGACGUCGUUGUUGUGGCCAAGUCAACCGCAUCAUCAUCGUCAUCGCCGCCGUCAUCUGCCUUUAACAACAUUUUCCUUACACUGCUCACCUUGACUGACUGUAUGUUUUCGCUAUUAUGCAAAAAAGUUGCCAUUUAAAAACUCCUGG